AUGGAGAGUUUGAUCCUGGCUCAGGAUGAACGCUGGCGGCGUGCUUAACACAUGCAAGUCGAACGAACCUUUCGGGGUGAGUGGCGGACGGGUGAGUAACGCGUGAGGAUCUGCCCUUAGGCGGGGGACAACUUUUGGAAACGGAAGCUAAUACCCCAUAUGGCGAGAGCUGAAAGCUUAAUGUGCCUGAGGAUGAACUCGCGUCUGAUUAGCUAGUUGGUGGGGUAAGAGCUUACCAAGGCGACGAUCAGUAGCUGUUCUGAGAGGAAGAUCAGCCACACUGGGACUGAGACACGGCCCAGACUCCUACGGGAGGCAGCAGUGGGGAAUUUUCCGCAAUGGGCGCAAGCCUGACGGAGCAACGCCGCGUGAGGGAGGAAUGUCUGUGGAUUGUAAACCUCUUUUCUCUGGGAAGAAGAUCUGACGGUACCAGAGGAAUCAGCAUCGGCUAACUCCGUGCCAGCAGCCGCGGUAAGACGGAGGAUGCAAGCGUUAUCCGGAAUUAUUGGGCGUAAAGCGUCCGUAGGCGGUCAAUUAAGUCAGUUGUUAAAGACUGCAGCUCAACUGUGGGAGAGCAACUGAAACUGAUUAACUAGAGUAUGGUAGGGGUAGAGGGAAUUCCUAGUGUAGCGGUGAAAUGCGUAGAUAUUAGGAAGAACACCAGUGGCGAAGGCGCUCUACUGGGCCAAGACUGACGCUGAUGGACGAAAGCUAGGGGAGCGAAAGGGAUUAGAUACCCCUGUAGUCCUAGCUGUAAACGAUGGAUACUAGGUGUUGUGCGUAUCGACCCGUGCAGUACCGAAGCAAACGCGUUAAGUAUCCCGCCUGGGGAGUACGCACGCAAGUGUGAAACUCAAAGGAAUUGACGGGGGCCCGCACAAGCGGUGGAGUAUGUGGUUUAAUUCGAUGCAACGCGAAGAACCUUACCAGGACUUGACAUCCCUCGAAUACCUAAGAAAUUGGGUAGUGCCUUCGGGAGCGAGGAGACAGGUGGUGCAUGGCUGUCGUCAGCUCGUGUCGUGAGAUGUUGGGUUAAGUCCCGCAACGAGCGCAACCCACGUCUUUAGUUGCCAUCAUUCAGUUGGGCACUCUGGAGAGACUGCCGGGGACAACUCGGAGGAAGGUGUGGACGACGUCAAGUCAUCAUGCCCCUUACGUUCUGGGCUACACACGUACUACAAUGCAACGGACAAAGGGCAGCCAACUAGCGAUAGUGAGCUAAUCCCAUAAACCGUUGCUCAGUUCAGAUUGCAGGCUGCAACUCGCCUGCAUGAAGGAGGAAUCGCUAGUAAUCGCAGGUCAGCAUACUGCGGUGAAUACGUUCCCGGGCCUUGUACACACCGCCCGUCACACCAUGGAAGUUGGCCAUGCCCGAAGUCGUUACCCUAACCGUUUUCGGAGGGGGGCGCCGAAGGCAGGGCUGAUGACUGGGGUGAAGUCGUAACAAGGUAGCCGUACCGGAAGGUGUGGCUGGAUCACCUCCUUUAAGGG
rnacentral:rRNA from 2 species